CGGCGUGGUUAAGAUAUGCAAGUCGAGCGCUAAUUUCAGGGUAGCAAUAUUCUGAAGUUGGAGCGGCGCAAGGGUGCGUAACACGUGGGUAAUCUGCCAUGAAGUUCGGGAUAACUUGCUGAAAGGCGAGCUAAUACCGGAUGUGACAACUGGGAGGCAUCUUCUGGUUGUUAAAGUUGGGGACCGUAAGGCCUGACGCUUCUUAAUGAACCCGCGGCCUAUCAGCUAGUUGGUGAGGUAACGGCUCACCAAGGCUAAGACGGGUAGCUGGUCUGAGAGGACGACCAGCCACACUGGAACUGAGACACGGUCCAGACACCUACGGGUGCCAGC
rnacentral:rRNA from 1 species